rnacentral:rRNA from 1 species
UAGAGUUUGAUCCUGGCUCAGAACGAACGCUGGCGGCAGGCUUAACACAUGCAAGUCGAGCGCCCCGCAAGGGGAGCGGCAGACGGGUGAGUAACGCGUGGGAAUCUACCUUUUGCUACGGAAUAACUCAGGGAAACUUGUGCUAAUACCGUAUGUGCCCUUCGGGGGAAAGAUUUAUCGGCAAAGGAUGAGCCCGCGUUGGAUUAGCUAGUUGGUGGGGUAAAGGCCCACCAAGGCGACGAUCCAUAGCUGGUCUGAGAGGAUGAUCAGCCACACUGGGACUGAGACACGGCCCAGACUCCUACGGGAGGCAGCAGUGGGGAAUAUUGGACAAUGGGCGCAAGCCUGAUCCAGCCAUGCCGCGUGAGUGAUGAAGGCCCUAGGGUUGUAAAGCUCUUUCACCGGUGAAGAUAAUGACGGUAACCGGAGAAGAAGCCCCGGCUAACUUCGUGCCAGCAGCCGCGGUA